rnacentral:lncRNA from 1 species
GCUUGGUGUGUGGGACGGGCGUGGCGACUAUUAAUUAGGGUUUAGGGGACUCCAUUUGUGGACUAGGCAUGUUGUCGACUUAGUGAUUGGAUUUGGCUGAGUUGGGCGUGGUUGUGGUUACUAUAUGGUGGGAUGGUAGUCGACUCCCACGUGUAUGGUGGUCGUGGGUGUCUUAGUUCAACCCGGUUGGCUUGGUUUGUGUGAUGUGCGGGGCAACUAUGAAUCGGGGGUUUAGGCGACUCCAUCCAUGGAUUAGGCAUGUGGACAACCUAGUGUAGUGGAUUUGGCAGUGUUGGGUACGAAUGCGGUGACUACAUAAUGGGAUGAUAGACGACUUUGGCGUUCGGUGGCCAAACUAGCCAAAUAUUAAGCGAAAAAUGCCCGAGAGACAUCCUUCCUCGCUUUCCCGUCACCACUAUAGUCUCCCUAAACAACAUUAACACAUGGCCAAAAACUAGUGAAAAAGAUCCAGCAUCCACUGGCCGAAACCAUGGAGGUGACUCACCUUGUGAUAUCCAAGAUCCAGCAUCCUUUUGCUCCAUAGUUUUUUUGUGCACACGGUCGACCAUCACGCCGUGCACGCAUUUGUUUCCUCUGUUGCGCCUGUCGAUGCAUACAGAGCAGAAGUGAUCGCGGGUGACUUGGUUUAACCAGGUUAGCUUGGUGUGUGGGACGGGCGUGGCGACUAUUAAUUAGGGUUUAGGGGACUCCAUUUGUGGACUAGGCAUGUUGUCGACUUAGUGAUUGGAUUUGGCUGAGUUGGGCGUGGUUGUGGUGACUAUAUGGUGGGAUGGUAGUCGACUCCCACGUGUAUGGUGGUUGUGGGUGUCUUAGUUCAACCCGGUUGGCUUGGUUUGUGUGAUGUGCGGGGCAACUAUGAAUCGGGGGUUUAGGCGACUCCAUCCAUGGAUUAGGCAUGUGGACAACCUAGUGUAGUGGAUUUGGCAGUGUUGGGUACGAAUGCGGUGACUACAUAAUGGGAUGAUAGACGACUUUGGCGUUCGGUGGCCAAACUAGCCAAAUAUUAAGCGAAAAAUGCCCGAGAGACAUCCUUCCUCGCUUUCCCGUCACCACUAUAGUCUCCCUAAACAACAUUAACACAUGGCCAAAAACUAGUGAAAAAGAUCCAGCAUCCACUGGCCGAAACCAUGGAGGUGACUCACCUUGUGAUAUCCAAGAUCCAGCAUCUUUUUGCUCCACAGUUUUUUUGUGCACACGGUCGACCAUCACGCCGUGCACGCAUUUGUUUCCUCUGUUGCGCCUGUCGAUGCAUACAGAGCAGAAGUGAUGCAUAGAGAACAUAAUGUUUCACGUUUUUUACUUCGGUGUUUGCCUCCUUGGGCGGCUGCUCGUAUGUCUAGUUUUGAAAAUAAGAAAAAAACAGUAGAAAAUGACUUCUCUGUCUAGCGCGUAAUUGCCUGACUGAUGCAUGUAAGAUUGCAAGCAAAUUUCAAAUAUUUUUUUCCCCGUAUGAUGACUGAAAAUGCUCCUGCUAUAUUACCCCUGGGCUGAUUAGCUGAUAUGUCAUUUACAAAGUCAUCUCAUCUUGACAGGAAAAUAUCAUCUAUUUAGUAUACAUAAUUGCCUUAACUGAUGCAUGUAAAAUUGCCAGAUAAAAUCAAUAAAAUAGUUCUUGCAUGAUAAACAAAAAAAUGUUUAUUCGUUGCAUGCAAAAAUGUCUUAUCUCUUAAUCCUCCCAUGAAUCCACAUGGUUACACCCUGUCUGAAUUCCCCACAAAAUUGCCCAGCCCACCACAAAAUCCCCUCUGAUGGAUCGGUAACUCGCCUCUCAAUCCUUCCCGUGGAUCCACGUAAUUGACUAGCUACGUGAAUGCCCCUCAAAUUUGCCAGCAAUGCAAACAAAAUCUGCAGUGAUGGAUAUGAAAAAUUGCCUCUCAA